rnacentral:rRNA from 1 species
CGCUUCAUGACAGAGUAUGAAGUAUUGCCUGCCCUAUGAUUUAAUUAAAUGGCCGCGGUAUACUGACCGUGCAAAGGUAGCAUAAUCAUUAGUCUUUUAAUUGGAGGCUGGAAUGAAAGGUGGGACGAAAUAACUACUGUCUUAUUCUGACAAAAUUGAAUUUAAUUAUUGAGUAAGAAAGCUUAAAUAAUUUUAUGGGACGAUAAGACCCUAUAGAGUUUUAUAAUUUUAUAAAUUAAAUUGGUUGGACUACUGUCUUAAUUUUUGAAAUUAUUUUGUUGGGGUGAUGAGAAGAUAUAAUUAACUCUUUUUUAUAAAGUACACAUAUUUGUGGUUAAUUGACCCGUAUGUUAUGAUUAGAAGACUAAAUUACCUUAGGGAUAACAGCGUAAUUUUAGUUGAGAGUUCACAUCGACACUAAAGAUUGCGACCUCGAUGUUGGAUUAAGAUCAUUAUUAGGUGUAGUAGCUUAAAUAAUAGGUCUGUUCGACCUUUAAAGUCUUACA